rnacentral:rRNA from 1 species
AGAGUUUGAUCCUGGCUCAGAUUGAACGCUGGCGGCAGGCUUAACACAUGCAAGUCGAGCGGUAACAUUUCUAGCUUGCUAGAAGAUGACGAGCGGCGGACGGGUGAGUAAUGCUUGGGAAUAUGCCUUAUGGUGGGGGACAACAGUUGGAAACGACUGCUAAUACCGCAUAACGUCUACGGACCAAAGGGGGGGAUCUUCGGACCUCUCGCCAUUUGAUUAGCCCAAGUGAGAUUAGCUAGUUGGUGAGGUAAAGGCUCACCAAGGCGACGAUCUCUAGCUGGUUUGAGAGGAUGAUCAGCCACACUGGGACUGAGACACGGCCCAGACUCCUACGGGAGGCAGCAGUGGGGAAUAUUGCACAAUGGGCGAAAGCCUGAUGCAGCCAUGCCGCGUGUGUGAAGAAGGCCUUCGGGUUGUAAAGCACUUUCAGUUGUGAGGAAAGGUUUGUAGUUAAUAGCUGCAAACUGUGACGUUAACAACAGAAGAAGCACCGCUAACUU